CCUACGGGUGGCAGCAGUGGGGAAUAUUGCACAAUGGGCGAAAGCCUGAUGCAGCAACGCCGCGUGAGCGAAGAAGGCCCUCGGCUCGUAAAGCUCUGUCCGCAAGGAAGCAAAUGACGGUACCUGAGGAUGAAGCCCCGGCUAACUACGUGCCAGCAGCCGCGGUAAUACGUAGGGGGCUAGCGUUAUCCGGAAUUACUGGGCGUAAAGGGGGCGUAGGUGGUUUCUUAAGUCAGAGGUGAAAGGCUGCGGCUCAACCGCAGUAAGCCUUUGAAACUGGGGUACUUGAGUGCAGGAGAGGAAAGUGGAAUUCCUAGUGUAGCGGUGAAAUGCGUAGAUAUUAGGAGGAACACCAGUGGCGAAGGCGGCUCUCUGGACUGUAACUGACGCUGAGGCACGAAAGCGUGGGGAGCAAACAGGAUUAGAUACCCCUGUAGUC
rnacentral:rRNA from 1 species